rnacentral:rRNA from 1 species
AGGGCCCUACGGGACGCAGCAGUGGGGAAUAUUGCACAAUGGGGGAAACCCUGAUGCAGCGAUGCCGCGUGAGUGAAGAAGUAUCUCGGUAUGUAAAGCUCUAUCAGCAGGAAAGAUAAUGACGGUACCUGACUAAGAAGCCCCGGCUAACUACGUGCCAGCAGCCGCGGUAAUACGUAGGGGGCAAGCGUUAUCCGGAUUUACUGGGUGUAAAGGGAGCGUAGACGGCAGGGCAAGUCUGGAGUGAAAGCCCGGGGCCCAACCCCGGGACUGCUUUGGAAACUG